GCCCCCGGGGCACCUGGGAGGUACCACCCCCCUCCCCCCAGGUUCCAGCCAGGGCCGGGGCCCUGGGAUUCAUCAGCCUGGGACAACUCCAGGCCCAGCCCAGCCUCGCUGCCCCCAGGCUGCCCUGGGAAGGCUUUGGGCUUGCAGAGGUCAGACCCGGGCAGGCUCAGAAGGUCAGGGUCUGCGGACACUGCAGAGCCACUGAGGCCCAACCAGCGGAGUGGCUGGUCCAGGCCGGAACUCCAGCAAGGUGACCCUGGCCUCCAUGGGCCUGGUGGGUCCCUGCUGGGAAAGCUUGGGGUGGGAGCCACGGGUGGGAGGCUCGGGGCCGGAGGGGAUGCAGGCGGCCAGGCCUGGGGCCGGCACUUCCCGCCCCCUGGCCCCCAGGCCCCGCUGACCAGAGGGGUUUUCCACCUUGGGCCAGGCCUGUCUGGCCCGCCCCAGGAAGCAGCUCUUACUUCUGCAUUCCCUGGUGGGCUGGCUGGCGUGUGGUGGGACAGCAGCCCCCGAGCUCGGGCUGUGGGACUGAGCAGAGCGGCCGCGCCCCCCAGCCAAACCCCAGCCCCGGUUCCUCUUCUGGAAGUCACGGCAGGAAGGAGCCCCAGCUUCCCAAGUGUGUGCCCUUGGCUGCGGCCUGCACAGUCCAGGACCCCCUCCACCUCCGUGCAGCCCUCCAGGCCUGAAGCCGUGUGCCCAGCUACACACCUUCCUGAAUCAGCUCACAGACGCUCUGUUUCAGUCCUGCAGGUGGGGAGACCGAGCUCAGGCGUCUGCACGUUGUCCAUAACGAGUCGGUGGUGGAACCAGAGCUCCAGAUCCAACACGUCACUGUUAAACGGAAGUGCAGCCACCCUCAGCUCCUUCCCUUCGUGGGAGCCAAGUGCGUUUUGUUUCAUCCUUAGGCCAAGUUUGGGAGGAACAUUAUUCCCAUUUUGCAGGAGACGGGGCCCCACCCCGGCAGCCCCUCUCAGCAGCCGCCCGAGGGAGAGCUGAGCAGGACAACAAACAGAAAGUGUCGCUUUCGACCCACUCACCCCGUUGCUCGGCUCGGACAGACCGGACAGACCCCACCGAGCCCAGGCCAGCCACUCCGCCUUCCUUUUGUUAUGGAAGCAGCCGAGCUCUGGCCUCUGCCUCCCCGUCCCUCCCCGUCCCUCCCCGGGAGCAGCCCGCGGGGGCCGGCAGUGUGGUCUGGAUCCCUGCAGCCCUUUCAGAACCGAGAGUGAGUAGGCGUCAGAUGCACAGUGUCUCGUGGAGGACGCGUAGCGUGGCUGUGACCGUAACAGUGACAUCACCAGAUGUGGCCUAGAACAUCAUGCCUGGGACAGCACCAUAUGUGUCAGAUACACGUUAUAUAUCACAGAACAGUGUCUAUAGUAGUUAUAGUAAUAUAGCCAACGUGUGACAUUAUAUAUCAUGAAAGAAUAACAUAUCUAUGAUUAUGCAUGCAUUAUGUAUACAUUAUAUAUCGUAUAAUAGUAAUGUAUGCUCAUCUACACAUUUGAGUCAGGUAAGAAUAAUCUGUCAAUCAUAGUAGUAAUAUGUGCAUCACACGGGCACUAUGUGUCCUAUAGGCAUGGUAUUGUGCGUAUCAUAGCGACAUACGCGUGGUGUGCUACCCUGUGUCGUGUAAGAAUGAUAGCACGUGUCUCAGAGUAACAGUGUGUUAGUGCGCAUGACCCAGAGACCCUGUAGUCCCCAAGAGCCAUGUCGCACGCGUCGGUACAAAGCACGCAGCAACGCCGGGCAGCCGGGAGGACUGCUGGGCUCUGGGCCGCCCCGGCGGCUGCCCCCGUGGAAGAGCAGGGCGUGGGUGCGCUCCCGCCGUCCCAUCUCCCUCGGGAGGGUGCAGCUGAGUGAGCUUGCCCAGGCCGGCCUCACCGCGUUCUCUCUCCUCACUGGAAACGGGCUGGUGGCCGUGCACCUGCCUCAGGACCCCUGAGCACGCAAACUGCGGACGCACAGAGCACUGACAGCGGCGCCCGCCCCCGGCAGUGCCAGACGUUCUGGUGAUUUCUAGAAAAGGGAGGGCCAGGUCCCCGGGGUGAGGGGAAGGUGUGUUUUGAGUUUCACCAGAUUUUGCCCAGGAAACCUGCUCCUACAGCUCCCAGGACACAGGGCGCUCCCAUGCUCGGCCUCGAAUUGCCAAGUCCCCACUGGGCCUCCAGUGCAGCGCACGGAACCCAGACCCCACGCACACCGACAGCCCCAUCUGCCUUCCACCAGGUCACAGCCCACCAACCGCCCCUCCACCCAGAAGGCAGCUCUGGCUGUAGGGCAGAGAGGGUGAGCAAACUGAGUGAGAGGUGUGCACGAGUGUGUGUGCAAGUGUGCGUGUGUGCACGAUAGAGUGUGAGCACACGAGUGUGUGUGCCCACUGUGAGAGGUUUGUUUAGGAGACGACACCAGGAAACAGUGAUGAGGAAGCGGGGCAGUGAGAACAGGGAGGGAAGGCGUGCAGCAAAGCACAGCUCUGGACGACUGGCGCUCCAGCCGCCGGGAAUGCUGGGAGGCACGCACAUCCCAGCGGCAAGGGAGGGAGCCGAGAUAUUUCCCCACCCACAGCCGCGGCCUCAUUGUCUGGGGGCAGCUUCCGGGGACCACGACGGGGAAAAGCAGAGAGGGCAGAGCGGUGGGGCUCUCAGGAAGCAGCCCUGACGCAGAACCGGCAGGAUCCACUCCGGAGUCUGACCCCUGGUGUGGAGAGCACGCGGGGGACGGGGGCCAGCCACGGCAGGGGCUCUCUCUGGGACUCGGAGAGGGGUAGCCUCCUCUUGCAGAGGGGCAGAGGGGCUGCCACCCCCGGGACCAGUUUGCCUCAGUCUCCAGCACUCCCUGUUGCCUCCCUGCCACAGGAGCCGGGGUCAGCACCGCCUCACAGCUGGCUCUGUGGCUUCCCUGCCGUCUGUGUGACCCCUAAGAGAGCUACAACCUGGAGCCCUGGUUCUGACUGCUGUGGGACCUCAAGCCAGUCCCUCCCUAACCCUGUGCCUUGACGCUUCCUUGGUGAGCCCAGGACACAGACAGGUGAUGAAGAGGCCUGCGGGGCCCAGCAGGUGUGGGCCUUUGUCUGGGUGUGGGACUCAGAGGCCCAGAGACCACAUCGGCCUGACUCCCAACCUCCAGGUGCUCAUAGGGGCUGCCACUGCUCCAUAAUCACAUGCAGGCUCCACUGAACCCUUCUCCAGUGGCGGGGGGACACCUCCCUCAGAUACAUGGCUCCAUGUUCCUGGGUCCAUGAGAGUGCCCAGCAGGCAGGCAGCAGGUGAGGGAGCUGGACUCGGUCCCCGUCUCCACGGGCUACCUGUGGAAGAAAGAAGCGAGCAACGGCUGCUGCAGAAGGCAGCCACUCGCCCUCUGUGAAACUUUAACAUCCAUGCUGGGAGCCAGCUAAUGCGCCUGGGAAAGCAGCAGAGGAUGGCCCGAGUGCUGGGGGUCCUGCCACCCACGUGGGAGACCCGGAUGGAGUUCCUGGCUCCUGGGUUCAGCCUGGUACAGACCUGGGCUGUGUGGCCUUUUGGGGAGUGGAGCAGUGGGUGGAUAAUCUCUCUCUCUCUCUCUGCUUGGUUGGCACAGCUGGGCACUCACUGGGGGGGUUGGCUGCCCCCAGCCCCAGCAGCUGCAGGUCAGUCCCAGAGGAGCCACGGGGUGAGAGGCCUGGGCCCUGGGGCACAGGGUAGACCUGGAGCCUGGGCACAUUCCAGCCAAUGGCUUCACUGGCCUCUGCUGAGCGCCGCGCUCAGAGUCCAGGGGUCGCUUCCUAGACGGGAGCUGACUCCGCGGCUGGCGAGGGCUGUCCAGCACCUGGGGUCCCCACCUCUCGCUAGAGCUGUCAUGGGAGCCAGGUGGGCACCAGGACGGCUUUCCUGAGCCCAGCCCAGCACAAGCCCUCUCCAUGCCACACGGCCCGCAGCCCGGCGUGCAUCCCCCCCCCCCCUCCAAUUCCACGCUCCCUCUGCACACCGGCCCGCUGAGCCCCGCGCUUCCUCCUGCAGCCUGUGGCCAGCUCCCCGCCCAGCCACUGCGCCGGGCUCCCGAAGCCACAGCCAGCCCUGACUGCCACAGCCAAAUUGAGUGAAAGACCAAUUACUGCUCUGAUACCUGUGGCCAGCCGAGGUGCUGCGGAGCUGACGAUCUCCCCUCCAUUCUCCUCCAACUGUGGUUUCAUUUCUUUCCCAGCCCUGCCUUGGUCAGUGGUUUUCGGGGCACUGCAGUUCACUCCUGCGGGUAACCUACGCUGUUAGCUGUUGAUUUAAUUAACUCAGCCCUUCUCGUCUUGACCAGAACGCGGCCGGCCGGGCCGCCUGGCACACUCCCGUUUGCACAGCCACGGCGGGAGGCGUCUGGCCGAGCAGCUCCUUCCCAGACAGAUGCUCGCCAGCCCCUGGCCAUUGUCAACCCUCGGGUUCUCCCAUGAGCCUCUGGGGGCCUUGCUCCCCUUGCACAGGUGGAGAAGUCCAGACUCCAGGUUGCGAACCUGAUCGUCUACGGUCACAAAGCCGGCGCAGAGCAAGGCCGGGCUUGUGAGCCGGGGCUGCCUCUGUCCACGGUCCUCUACUCCGCAGGGGCCUGAGCCCCCAGCAGGUGCCCCACGGCAGGAGAGAGCUGGAAGACACGUGGGCCGGGGCCAGGGGUGCUGAGCUGCGGUUCUUCCUCGCGAAGAAGCAAACCCAAGUCUUUCUUCCUCUGAGAAGUUUCCAGAUCUUUGCAUGCACCCCUCCGUGGCCAGCUGAGGGGGAGAGAGGUCCUGUAUUGGGGGCACAAGGGCCUCUGCCCAGGAGACGCCCCCGCCACAGGGUCUUCAGGAAGGCAGAGAAGAGGGGGCAGGAGGGAGCAGGACAGGGGCGGGGGCAGAACCUGCAGUGGUUUCCGGGGGAGCACAGGCGCGGCCGGGGAGGCGGUGAGAAUUUCGGGGAGACUCACUGGGAGGUUCGGGCGAGUCCUCGCUGCUCCGGGCCCUGGAGCACCUCCUGGCACGCUCUCGUGGGCAGCGGUGGCCGCCCAGCUGGGGCUGGCGAGUGACGGUGCUCUGGCCGCAGGACCAGAGGAGCCGGCAGGCGGCCAGGGUCAGGGCAGGGUUCUCAGCGUGGAGACAGCCUGCUUUCUCCUCUCCCCUUCCCACUCCUCCUCCUCCAGGCAGCUCCCCGUCCCUCACCUGUGCCCAUUCCCCAGUCCCGGUCCAGAGCUCGGAGGGCUUUUUUUUUUUUUUUUUUUUUUUUUUUUUUGCCCCCAGGGUGAAUUGUCAAUUGAUUUGUUAUUUAUCCCACUGACAACAGAGAGAGUGAGAAGGUAAUAAUUGUAGGCCCUGGGGUAAUUCAAUUCCUGUAGCACCGUCAGCUACAUUAACUUACUUCCUGGAUCUCAAUUCAAUUAGAGCAACAUUCCCCAGCAUUAAUAAAUCAAUACUCAUGCCAUUUGGAUAGAUUUUG
ensembl:lncRNA